CCUACGGGGGGCUGCAGUGAGGAAUAUUGGUCAAUGGCCGGAAGGCUGAACCAGCCAUGCCGCGUGAAGGUCAGUGCCCUAUGGGCGUUAAACUUCUUUUGUGCGGGAGCAAUAAUGGUCACGUGUGGCCAGACGAGAGUACCGUACGAAUAAGCAUCGGCUAACUCCGUGCCAGCAGCCGCGGUAAUACGGGGGAUGCAAGCGUUAUACGGAUUUAUUGGGUUUAAAGGGUGCGUAGGCUGUGCGGUAAAUCAGCGGUGAAAUGCCCCCGCGCAACGGGGUGAAGUGCCAUUGAUACUGGCUUGCUGGAGUGCGGAUGCCGUGGGAGGAAUGGGUGGUGUAGCGGUGAAAUGCAUAGAUAUCACACAGAACACCGAUUGCGAAGGCAGCUCACGAAUCCGCGAUUGACGCUGAUGCACGAAAGCGUGGGUAUCAAACAGGAUUAGAUACCCUGGUAGUC
rnacentral:rRNA from 1 species